UGAGCAAUCUGCCCUUCUCAUCGGAAUAAGCGUUGGAAACGACGUCUAAUGCCGGAUACGACCUCCUUUCGCAUGAUCGGAGGUGGAAAGCUCCGGCGGAGAAGGAUGAGCUCGCGGCCUAUCAGCUAGUUGGUGUGGGUAAUGGCCCACCAAGGCGACGACGGGUAGCCGGCCUGAGAGGGUGACCGGCCACACUGGGACUGGGACACGGCCCAGACUCCUACGGGAGGNAG
rnacentral:rRNA from 1 species